rnacentral:miRNA from 1 species
UGAGUCAAGAAUGGCUUGCCGGC